CGAGGCCUGGCAAGGACAUCCCCAUACGGCAGCAACGUAGAGUUCGAGACACAGCUGUGUUAGAAUUGACGUUGAGACAUUGUCCAGUGCGCAUUAGACUUGAAAGCAUUUCACAGAAUGGCGUCUCUGUGGCCAAUACAGUCUUCGCUGGGGGUCUGCCCCCUGUAUUCUGACGUCACACUGCACUACAAUGAGGAGCAUUCUCUAGGGGACCUUGCCGCCGAGACACAGUGUCCAGGGGCCACCUCACCCAUAAAACACUCCAAGAAGAUAUUCAACUUCUUUCGUUUUGGGCGACUAAGACGAAGGAGCAGCUCGGGAGAGAAAGGGAACUGCCCGGGUGAGGCAGAGAGGACCCCCUAAACAAGUUCCUGACCUCUAGUGGGUUCAGAGACUGACUGUCACUUGUGGCAGGACAUGGGUACCGGGCCGUUGAGGCGAACUCAGUACGUUGUGUCAUGUUUCAGACAACCCAGAGAGCAUGUUAAAGGACACGUUGAAGUGUGCUUUGGACCUGAUCUCCAAUAUAAAUAUAGUUUGAAUACAGCUUGUUGCAGACAUUUAUUUAUUUAUUAGACGGGGUAGAUGGCUAAAUCCCGGCAUCGUGAACAAAGAAUCAAUUCAAAAUAUGGCGUGCAUGUUUGGCGCAUACGUUAUAACUAAUGACAUCAUUCAGCUAAUUUCGAAAUGAUGUUGAGUGUACAGUA